rnacentral:misc_RNA from 1 species
GAUAGCUAGAUCCGUGACUUAAAGUAGUGUCGACAGUCACAUGUGUGUUUCACUUUAUAUAAAGCUUGUCUAUUUGCUUUACUUUAUCAAAAGCCUAUCUGUAGGCCUUGCUUGUAAUAAUUAUCUUUUAGAAGCUCUUCCUUCUAUAUAAGGAGAGCUCCAUCCGUGUGUAAGGCAUUCAAAAAUUUCAAUAACAUCUCUGGUUUCUCUUAUCCAUGACUUUCUAAAUUUUCUCUCAUCUCUGUCUGAUGUUCAAGAAUGCAUAGUAUUCAUCUGUAAGCAAAUGUACGUAUGCUCUACACUUGCCCUGUUAAGGGAUCCAGUGCAUCAGAAAUACAUAUUGUUAUUGGUCCUAAGAAGCUACGGUCCUCUUUAAUACAUACUGUAUGCAUACAAAAGGACUCCCAGCCUAAGAGUACCUAUGGAGAGGGAAGCGGCAUUGAGUAUGAGUAUUGUAUGCAGUAUUUGUUAAAGAGGCUCCCGGCCCCUCCUGCUCUGCCAACUCUAUUUUCUCUGAAUUUCUUGGUGAUGCUGGAUUAUUCAAGAAACAAAUCCGCCAAGAAUACUUUGAUAUGCACUGUUGCUCUUUAAAAGAACAGACAUUGAAAAGCAUUAUCAAAGGAUGGACUUUGAUAAUGGAGAAGACAGGUUGUAGUGGUGAUAUUCUGAGUCAUCAGAGUCUAAGUCACCGUAAAAACCUUGAUACCAGGGCCCAUGUUCUUCUGGAGAAGGUGGGGCUGCGCUGGCAAUAGCGUCUAGAGCUCCUGGUAUCAGAGCCUGAUUACGUUUGAAUACUAUAUAUUUCGAGAAUUAAAGACAGAGAUACGUUUCCCAAACAUGGCUUGUCAAACAUUUCCUUCAAAUAUGAAUAAUUCUUAUAUCCAGAAGAUUAAAAGAAGGUAAUUGCACACCAAUUAUCAUUGAUAAGAUUCUAGAUAAUUUUAAAACAAUCAUGAUAUUUUUAUCUGCAUAGUUCUAACUUAAUCCUUUUGCCGUUGAAAACUAUAAGUACACAAGAAAACAUAUUUAUCUUCACUAGGAAGUCAAAAAUUCCUUGUGCUUCUUAAUUUAGUGAAGGUUGAGAAGAUGCUGGAUGCUAUUUGGUAACUCGUUGAACUUGGGUUCCAAAUUAUUGGACUUGAUAUUAUCUGAAAAACCACUGCUACAAAUAACUGACUUUCCUGCUACAAUAUCUGAAAAACAAAGAAGAUUAGGAAAAGAGAGUGAGAAAGAAAAAAGAAGAAGAAGAAAAGAAGCUUGAUUGUAGAUUUAUGGAUAAAAAGAAAGGGGCUAAAAAGCUCACAUUUUGUAGAGUAAAGAAGACAUAAAAAUCUCCAUCCCCUAGGAAAGGAAAUGCCAGCUAUUAAACUUGGACAAUGUUUCAAAUAGAAUCUCCCCAGGUAAAAAACAAAGAUUAGAAGAAAAGAAUUGCUUGGAAAUUUACUUAAAACAUUGUCAAUAAGCAGUGAAUACAGAGUACCAUUGAUAAAAAGGAAUUACAUGAUGCAUGUACUCCAGAGCAUUUUCGAUAUACAGUAAAUCUUGAAAGUUUUGGUCGAAAAGUAAAUCUUGAACCUGCCGGAAAAAUCCAUUCACAAAGUCAGCUUCCACUAUUGUGACAUGUUGGCCAAAAAGUUCAAUGCUAUUACUUUUGAGAGAAAAUGAGAAUUUUGGACCAUCCUUAUCAACAGCGCGCUGAGAUCUUACAUUCUGCCCUGGGUAGUAAAUCUAUAGGAAACGAAAUUUAAACCUUAAGAAAAGCCCUCAAGUUCAUGAAUACAAACUAAGUUAUUCCCUUUUCUUAUCCAUCCACCACCCUAGUGGUAAUCCAAACCCAAAGGUAAAUUCAGUGCAAUAGAACAACUUUUAGAAGCGAGGACAGCAAAAGUCUAUGAAUCUUUUCCCAUCUAGCAUCUAAAUCCGGUACAUAUGAUUCAUAAUGAAUCAAAGUAUGUGCUCUUACAUCAUGGCAUCAUAACAGAAAAAUAUGCCCAGCAGCCAGUACACGUGCACCAGGGAGUGAAAGCAAGAGGAUACACAAUCCAUUGCCAACAAAGGAAUAACAAUUCAUGUCUUAUGAUAUAUAAAAGACCAAAAAGAAACAGAAGGGAAAAAAAAUUAU